AACCCACCGGUUAGGCCAGGUCAUGACAGGGCUUGCUUUUCGGCUUCAGAAGUGCCAGGGCCAAUGCUGAAUAGCUGGUAGGCAGAUGAACCCUCAGCACUAAUAAGAAGGAGGACACCAGAACAUCACUUGUUGGUACCAGUGUCCUUAUGGUGGUAUGAGUUCCCCAAAAUUGUUGAUACCAGCAUCUAUAUCCUCAGGAGGAGUCCCAGUUGCCUCCAUUCUUUAUGGGAGGCUCUUUAAGAUCAACAGGUAAGCCCUGCUGCUGCUGCUGCUGCUAAGUCACUUCAGUUGUGUCCGACUCUGUGCAGCCCCAUAGACGGCAGCCCACCAGGCUCCCUCGUCCCUGGGAUUCUCCUGGCAAG
ensembl:lncRNA